rnacentral:rRNA from 1 species
UACGUAGGGUGCAAGCGUUGUCCGGAAUUAUUGGGCGUAAAGAGCGUGUAGGCGGCCCGACCAGUCCGCUGUGAAAGUCCAGGGCUCAACCCUGGAAUGCCGGUGGAUACUGUCGGGCUAGAGUCCGGAAUGGGCGAGUGGAAUUCCUGGUGUAGCGGUGAAAUGCGCAGAUAUCAGGAGGAACACCAAUGGCGAAGGCAGCUCGCUGGGACGUGACUGACGCUGAGACGCGAAAGCGUGGGGGAGCAAACAGGG